GCAUUGGUGGUUCAGUGGUAGAGUUCUUGCCUGUCAUGUGGGAGGCCUGGGUUUGGUUCCUGGCCAAUGUA
rfam:Loxodonta africana unplaced genomic scaffold scaffold_52, whole genome shotgun sequence.